CAGUAGCCACGGUAAUACGUAGGGUGCGAGCGUUAAUCGGAAUUACUGGGCGUAAAGCGUGCGCAGGCGGUUUGCUAAGACAGAUGUGAAAUCCCCGGGCUUAACCUGGGAACUGCAUUUGUGACUGGCCGGCUAGAGUAUGGCAGAGGGAGGUGGAAUUCCACGUGUAGCAGUGAAAUGCGUAGAUAUGUGGAGGAACACCGAUGGCGAAGGCAGCCUCCUGGGCCAAUACUGACGCUCAUGCACGAAAGCGUGGGGAGCAAACAGGAUUAGAUACCCCCGUAGUCCCUGUCUCUUAUAC
rnacentral:rRNA from 1 species